GAUGAAGAACGCAGCGAAAUGCGAUAAGUAAUGUGAAUUGCAGAAUUUAGUGAAUCAUCGAAUCUUUGAACGCACAUUGCGCCCGCUAGUAUUCUGGCGGGCAUGCCUGUUCGAGCGUCAUUUCAACCAUCAAGCCCUAGGCUUGCGUUGGAGCCCUGCGGCUGCCGCAGGCUCCCAAAUCCAGUGGCGGGCUCGUCGUCGUACCGAGUGCAGUAAACAUCCUCGCUCAGGGAACGUGACGGGUUCUUGCCGUGAAACCCCCCACAUAUCAAGGUUGACCUCGGAUCAGGUAGGAAUACCCGCUGAACUUAAGCAUAUCAAUAAGCGGAGGA
rnacentral:misc_RNA from 1 species